UAUAUCACCUGUGUCCCUAGAGGAUGCACAAACACUACCACUUCUGCCACAUUGAUAAUUCUCUCCCUCUGUGAAGAUAGAUGGUGUCUAAGCCUGGGUCAUCAGGAAGGCUCCACAGAGAAGGGAGCCUGGGUCUGGAAGAUGCAAGCUUCUCUCUCAGAUGCACUGGAUGCCAUUAGUCUAUGGCCAUCCACUUUGGCUGCUCCCCUUCCUCUUGUCCCAUCUGCCCUUCUCACAUAGCCCAAGAUGCAUGGCAUGGAGGUGAUCCUACAGAUCCUACAGAUCUAGUGGAGUGGGCUCUCCCCUCAUUGGGGAGGGUCAAGGAGGCCAUCCCACUCUUAUUCAUGGCAAGAAGAGAUAAACACCAAAGACUCUCUGGUGGUCGUCCAGCUACUUCUUGC
rnacentral:lncRNA from 1 species